AAAAUAUCCUAAGUCCAAAGUUAUUUUUAAAAGGUGCGAAAGUCAAGAAAAGUCCAAGUGAAUCCAAGACUGGAACUCACCUCUGAGGAACUUCAGCAGCGCUGCAUGGGCAGUGUUUCCGGCUGUGCUGGUGGUCACUAUCAAGGCAGAACACCAAAGAUGUGUUUUAGUGAGGCUCAGAAGGGUUCAGAAGAGAUGUGCCCCACUGCUGCCAAGCCCUUGUUGGGUUGGAUAAGCCGAGGUGCUGCUGCUCUGUGUCGCUGAAGGACCCGAUCCCACCGCGCUGGUGCCCAGCUGCGAGAGGCACUUGGAGAGAUGGGGCUUGGAGGGGGCACAGGUAACAGGAGAGAGAGCUGAAUGGAAAAGACAAGCAGUUUAUCUGUCUGCAGCUUGCCCCUUGUCACCUACAGCUUCCUCUUAGUGAAUGGAUGGCUUUCUUUCUAAAGCAACAAAGGCUUCCCUGGAAAAACUAGAAUACUUGCUCGGUUUUACUCGCUCAUUUAGUAUGCAAGAAAUGUUAGUUUCUUCUCUCAAAC
rnacentral:lncRNA from 12 species